rnacentral:rRNA from 1 species
CCUACGGGUGGCAGCAGUGGGGAAUAUUGCACAAUGGGGGAAACCCUGAUGCAGCGACGCCGCGUGAGCGAUGACGUCUUUCGGUAUGUUAAGCUCUUUCAGCAGGGAAGUAAAUGACGGUACCUGACUAAGAAGCCCCGUCUAACUUCGUGCCAGCAGCCGCGGUAAUAAGGAGGGGGCGAGCGUUAUCCGGAUUUACUGGGUGUAAAGGGAGCGUAGACGGCGGUGCAAGCCAGAUGUGAAAGCCCGGGGCUCAACCCCGGGACUGCAUUUGAAACUGUGCUGCUAGAGUGUCGGAGAGGCAGGCGGAAUUCCUAGUGUAGCGGUGAAAUGCGUAGAUAUUAGGAGGAACACCAGUUGCGAAGGCGGCCUGCUGGACGAUAACUGACGUUGAGGCUCGAAAGCGUGGGGAGCAAACAGGAUUAGAUACCCUAGUAGUC